rnacentral:misc_RNA from 1 species
CCGAGUUAGGGUCCUCUAGGGCUCGACCUCCUACCCUUUGUCUACCUUACCUUUUGUUGCUUCGGCGGACCCGUCCCUCAGGGGACCGCCGGGGAGCUCACGCUCUCUGGCCCGCGUCCGCCGGUGGCCCACAACCAAAACUCUUGUUUAAACGUGUCGUCUAAGUACCAAAACUAAUAAGUAA